rnacentral:rRNA from 1 species
UAUACAACUUUCAGCAACGGAUCUCUUGGCUCUCGCAUCGAUGAAGAACGCAGCGAAAUGCGAUAAGUAAUGUGAAUUGCAGAAUUCAGUGAAUCAUCGAAUCUUUGAACGCACCUUGCGCUCCUUGGUAUUCCGAGGAGCAUGCCUGUUUGAGUGUCAUUAAUUUCUCAAC